GAGUCUAUUUUUUUCAAUCUCUGGUUGACGCGGAAUCUACCCUGGAGUCUAAUUACUUUUUUAAAAAUGA
rnacentral:sRNA from 1 species